AGGCCCCACUUCCUUCUGAGGAGAGCUCCCUUCUGGCCAGGCCUAUUUCAAGUUUGAGGGAUGAAGAAUCCACACAAUGGGGCUGACAGUGACCAAACUAGAGGAGACAUAUAUACUCCAGCCCAAUUCUGCACUGAAGGACAAGGACUGCUGCAAAAGAAAUGAGUGAGACCCUCAAAAUAAAUGAAAGGCACACAGCUCAGCCACUAAGGAGAUGGACAAGCCAUGUCAACCUCUGAUCUGCUACUUUUUGCAUCUAUAAAAUGGUAACACUGCUACUUAUACCUCAGGAUGUUGUGAGGAUUAAAAAUUGAGUAAGCUAAGUGCCUGGUGCAGUCCUGGCACAGUCACUAAGCAUUUACUAUCUUUAUGCAGUUUCUUUUUGUAAUGCUAACUGCCCUCCAAAUUCCUCCAAAGUAAACACAUGGAUUAGUAAAUGAGAAAGAAACAAUGCUUAAAACAACUAUGGGUAACAUACCUGUUUCAAGUCGCGUAGAAUACUGAUAUAAGAAAUAUAAAUUGACCAAAUAAAGAAAUCCAGUUCCUGGACCCACAGGGAAAUAAAAGGUGGCAGUGAUUGGCCUCCAAAUCUGUCCAGAUCAAAAUAAACACAGCUGUUAGUUUCUGUAA